rnacentral:rRNA from 1 species
UACGAACUGCGCGAACGUUAUUCGGAAUCACUGGGCUUACAGGGUGCGUAGGCGGCGGAGAAAGUAGGGUGUGAAAUGCCUUGGCUCAACCAAGGCACAGCGCUCUAAACUACUUCGCUGGAGUGAGUCAGGGGUGCGCGGAACUUCCGGUGGAGCGGUGAAAUGUGUUGAUAUCGGAAGGAACACCGGUGGCGAAAGCGGGCGGCACUGGGGCUUAACUGACGGCUGAGGCACGAAAGCCAGGGUAGGCGAACGGG